AACGAACGCUGGCGGCAUGCCUAACACAUGCAAGUCGAACGCCCUCUUCGGAGGGAGUGGCGCACGGGUGCGUAACGCGUGGGAACCUGCCCUUAGGUUCGGAAUAACUCAGAGAAAUUUGAGCUAAUACCGGAUAAUGUCUUCGGACCAAAGAUUUAUCGCCUUUGGAUGGGCCCGCGUAGGAUUAGGUAGUUGGUGGGGUAAAGGCCUACCAAGCCGACGAUCCUUAGCUGGUCUGAGAGGAUGAUCAGCCACACUGGGACUGAGACACGGCCCAGACUCCUACGGGAGGCAGCAGUGGGGAAUAUUGGACAAUGGGCGAAAGCCUGAUCCAGCAAUGCCGCGUGAGUGAUGAAGGCCUUAGGGUUGUAAAGCUCUUUUACCAGGGAUGAUAAUGACAGUACCUGGAGAAUAAGCUCCGGCUAACUCCGUGCCAGCAGCCGCCGUAACAC
rnacentral:rRNA from 1 species